rnacentral:ncRNA from 1 species
AUUAUGGUUUGCCAAAACAUUCCGUUUUGGUGAUUAAAAGGGAAGGCUGUGCAAUUCAGCCGCUGUCCCGCAGCCGUGAGUCUCAUAACCGAACUCCAUUUCUGAAUGGUCACUGUCUAUUGACGGGAAGGCCGGAGAGAGGGAGACGAGCCGGAAGACCUGCCGUAACCG